UACGAAGGGGGCUAGCGCUGUUCGGAAUUACUGGGCGUAAAGCGCGCGCAGGCGGUUUCUCAAGUCAGUGGUGAAAGCCCGGAGCUCAACUCCGGAACUGCCAUUGAAACUGUGAAACUUGAGGACGAGAGAGGUGAGUGGAAUUCCCAGUGUAGAGGUGAAAUUCGUAGAUAUUGGGAAGAACACCGGUGGCGAAGGCGGCUCACUGGCUCGUUUCUGACGCUCAGGCGCGACAGCGUGGGGAUCAAACAGG
rnacentral:rRNA from 1 species